rnacentral:sRNA from 1 species
CUUCCCACUUUCACAUUCCAGCCUCUGUUAUUCCACUUAAAAUGCUAGGGUUAAACUGCGUUUACCUUAAACAGGCUUACUGUGUUCACUGCUGGACGCCUCUGGGCAAUCUUACCCUCCUGGGAACUGAGAGAGACAAUGCUAGGAGCCAGAAACAUGAGGAAUACAUGAGCUCAGCGCCAAUGGAACAUGCUUUCACACCGGGUGCAGCUAACCACCACAUCAUACAAAACUCGUCGCUAACGUUUUAGAUGUAUAAUCUGAUUGGCAUGGGCUCACAGAGGAGGGAGUAAGGGAAGAGUAAGAAGAUUUCAAAGGAGAGACACAGGUUGCAGGUUAGCAGGAGAACAGGCAAGCCAAAUGCAAAGGAGCCACUUCAGAAAUGUGUCACAGAAAAGUGAAAAUGCAACCUAGUGGUAAGUGAAGAGGGGAAGAAGAAAGAAAAAGGACCAGAACCAUGAACUGAAGGGACGGGGAACAGCCAGACGAGAGCUUCAGCCAUCACGAGGAUGAUUUCGGAACCUGGAGAAAAUAAAAUGCAUUGAAA